CUCUCCUUGCCCUGCUCAUCACUUUCCCCUGGUUUUUUUUUUUUUCCUCCCUUCCUCCCCUCUGCCUCCCUCCACCUCCCCCUUUUCUUUUUUGCUGAAUCUUAUUGAUCCAGAAGGUGGCUAAUUAGCCCUUCCCGUCGUGCCUGGGGAUCAGAGAGACAAGGCUGCAGGAGCCCCUUCUUCUGCUCUUACCCCACUGUUGGCAUUUGAGAAGCUAUUGGAGUUCAGUAAUCCUGACCAACUGGCUUUUUCUCCUGGACUCAUGAACAGUGUACCUAAAACAAG
rnacentral:lncRNA from 1 species